CAGAACGAACGCUGGCGGCAUGCCUAAUACAUGCAAGUCGAACGGAGAUAGCAAUAUCUAGUGGCGAACGGGUGCGUAACACGUGAGCAACCUGCCUUAUACAUCGGAAUAACAGCUGGAAACGGCUGCUAAUACCGGAUAAGACCACACCAAGGCAUCUUGGAGAGGUCAAAGCGAAUUAGCGGUAUAAGAUGGGCUCGCGUCCAAUUAGCUAGUUGGUGGGGUAACGGCCCACCAAGGCAACGAUUGGUAGCCGACUUGAGAGAGUGAUCGGCCACACUGGAACUGAGACACGGUCCAGACUCCUACGGGAGGCAGCAGUAGGGAAUAUUGGGCAAUGGAGGAAAAACCUCUUACCCAGCAAUGCCGCGUGAAUGAUGAAGGUCUUAUGGAUUGUAAAGUUCUUUAAUUGGGGACGAAAGAAAUGACGGUACCCAAAGAAUAAGCCCCGGCUAACUACGUGCCAGCCGCAGC
rnacentral:rRNA from 1 species